ACCUGGUGAAAUGCAGGCAGAUUAGUGACGAAGUGGGAGAAGAUGGCUGGAAUUCCAGAUACCAGUUCUGUAUGUAUCAGUCCAAUGCCUCGAACACGGACAAUCCCCAAUGAAGGACCAAGGUUCAAGAGCCAGUUUACUGAAACCUUGUUUUGGAAAUCGAACUCAUACUUCUUUAUAGUGCCAUAAUGCCACACGCACAUGACUAUCAUAAAUAUAAAGGAGAGGGUAAUUGGGACCCAUGCGCCUUCAUGAAACUUGACAAGGGAAGCUGAGAAGUAGAGUACUUCGAUUGUGCCAAAGAAAAUCAGGAAACCGAGCGCAAGGAAGAUACUUUUGUUCCAGCAAAGCACAAUGACCAGUGACAUUAAACAAGUGGUAACAAGCAUAACAGUUAUAACUGCCAGACCUGUAUCAAGAAAGUUCAGGACAAACAGUGAGAACAAGCACUAGAUGCUUCUCAAUGCGCGUUAGAAAUAGCUAUAUGUAUAGCUUGUCUUACCUUGUGCAUUUGCCAAAUGUUUCGUGUUUCUGAAGCCAAGAGUAACAGCCAGGCAGAGUAUCAUCAGGAUCCAAUUGAUUUCAGGUAUGUAUAUCUGACCGUGUACUGUAGAUGAUGUGUGCACAAUUUUCACGCCAGGGAAGCAACUUAAUGAAGAGCACUGCUUGAUAAUUGAAAAGGUGCCAGUAAUGACUGCUUGGCUCCCAACCACAGCUGCUAGUAUAGCAAUCACCAGAACAGGCCAUCUAAGUUUUUCUGAAGACAAAG
rnacentral:sRNA from 1 species